rnacentral:rRNA from 1 species
UACGGAGGGUGCAAGCGUUGUCCGGAUUUAUUGGGUUUAAAGGGUGCGUAGGCGGCUCCUUAAGUCAGCGGUGAAAGCCCGGGGCUCAACCCCGGAACCGCCGUUGAUACUGGGGGGCUUGAGUAUGGACGAGGUUGGCGGAAUUGAGGGUGUAGCGGUGAAAUGCUUAGAUACCCUCAAGAACACCGAUUGCGUAGGCAGCUACCUAGGCCAUAACUGACGCUGAGGCACGAAAGCGUGGGGAGCGAACAGG